GUCGGCCCGCCCGGGGCAUCGCGGAGGCUGCGGGUCUGGGUGCACCUCUCGGUUGCUGAGCUGACCUGUGCCUGUCCCCGCCUUCUGGAGCGCUGACACGACAGUAAACGGGAGCGCCCGGCUGCCUGCUCCUCGCUGGGAGCGCUGUGGCCCCUAGCGCAGCAGGUGCCGUGGGCAAAGGCACAGCAGAGCUCAUCUUCCUUUCUGUAACUGGAGCAGCAGCUGAUGGAGGAGUGAAGGAGAGAGAGAUACAGUGACUGGUUCCUGUAAAACACCAGCACUUAGAGCACCAGCAUAGGAGUCUGGGAGAAGAAUGCAUCUCUACAGGAACAACGUGCUUGGACAUUAUUAGUCACAAAAAUAAAGCAAGA